rnacentral:rRNA from 1 species
UACGUAGGGGGCAAGCGUUGUCCGGAAUCAUUGGGCGUAAAGCGCGCGUAGGCGGCCCGGUAAGUCCGCUGUAAAAGUCCAGGGCUCAACCCUGGAAAGCCGGUGGAUACUGUCGGGCUAGAGUACGGAAGAGGCGAGUAGAAUUCCUGGUGUAGCGGUGGAAUGCGCAGAUAUCAGGAGGAAUACCCAUAGCGAAGGCAGCUCGCUGGGACGUUACUGACGCUGAGGCGCGAAAGCGUGGGGAGCGAACAGG